CUGUUCAUUCCAGAGCCGAUGCAGCGCUCCGUGUGGAAUCCCUAGUAAAGACUGGUGACUUCGCACAGCAAGGAUGUGACCCUGCACCCUGGUGACUGUACUACGCCCCCUCACACAGGCACAGCACUGAGCACAAACCUGCAGUUGAGAAUCGUGUAUCUUUUUGCAGAGAUGCAGUGUUUCAUGCCACUGAAGAGGAGGGAUUAUCAAACCCAAACCUAUUACACAAAGUGGACCUGGAAAGAGACAAAGUGGAUUGAGAAAGGAGAAAAGGAAGAUUAUCAUGGAAAACUACCCCUUUAGAGUAAGAGCAGCUGUUAUGAUCAAGGACAGGUGAAGGCCCAUGAAAAAGGCUUAAGCUAGUUUAAAGUAACAGUUUGAAUAAAGAAGUUAUAUAGUGUGUUUGUACCUGCGAUUAUUGGUUGGUUAUUUAGAAUAAACAGAGUAAGCAUGCUGGUAUGUCUUGUUUAUGUUUACCCUUUUAGGGCGUGUUACUGUUAUUAUUACUGUUACUGUUUUAUUAAACAUAAAUAUUUAAAGAAAUAUACAUUUUGU